GUUAAAUCGUCUACAGAUUGGGAAGCAAUCUCUUUGCCUGUGGCUGCACUGGGAAACAUAAGGAUGAGAAGUGAUGAAUCACAUCCUCACAGCUUGGCCCAAGAGGUAACAUGAAAACUCCCUGCUGAACAAACUGAGACAACAAUCAGAUGUGGGCUAAUAAAUGGCGAGAAGCAUAUGUGCCACACAAGUGCUGACAGUGACCAACUGCAACACAAGAGUGUUGAAUGACCCACAAUUGACAAUUAAUCACAUUGUUGUUGCUGAAUCCUCCACGUUCAACAUCCUAGAGGGCACCACUGACAACAGACUCAACAGGACCAACCACACAAACACUGUGCUCUCAAGAGCAGAUUAGAGACUGGGUAUUCUCCACUCAUCUCCUGACACCCUAGAUCUGUCCACUGUCUGCAAAACACAUCAGGAGUUUGAUAGAAUGCUCUCAUUUGCCUACAGUUCAAUCCUUUGGAAGUUCAACACCAUCCAGGAGGGAGCAGUAUUCUUGAUUGGGCCCAUCACCCCAACAUACAUUCCGCCACUAUUGUCACACAGUAGUCACAGUGCGUCCUUUGCUACAAAAUGCACUGCAACUACUGGCCUAGGUUAUUCCAACAUCACCUCCGAUACAUUCCACGACUACCACCAAGAAUGAAAAGAUCUUCUGGAGCAUUGAAUCACCACCACUGGCAUAUUUCUUCCAAGUUGCACAAUACUGACUAAGAAAUAUAUUCUUAUUCCUUCAUUGUUGAAGUUAAAUCCCAGAACACCCUCCCCAAUACCGCUGUGGGAGAACCUUCAGCAGAAGGACUGCAGUGUUUCAAAAGCAGGCUCAUUAUCAUCUUCUCAAGAGCAGGGAGCGAUGAGCAAUAAAUGCUGACUUUUACAGUGACCUUUGUACUCCAAAGAGAGAAAAUUUUAAAAAUCCCAUCAUUACCUCUGCAAAACUUUCCACCCUCCACUGUACAUUUGGGCUCCUUUCAAGAUGUCCCCGAAUUGCUGUCAUUCUUAUCUC